rnacentral:miRNA from 1 species
GCUGACACAUCCCGGCCAAACUCCAGCAGACCCUCCCUCCCAGACCCUCCCACAUCCUGGACAGCAUCCAUGUUGAAGGCAGCUUCAACAUGGAUGCUGUCCAGGAGGUGGGAGGGACUGGGAGGGAGGGUCUGCUGGAGAUUGGCCGGGAUGUGUCAG